rnacentral:lncRNA from 1 species
GUAAUUCUUUCGUCGCCUCGAUCAUUAAAUGAUGUUUUUGACAUGAAGAAGAUUGAUUAUAGUGUUUCUUAUUGUCAUCCGGUGUGAAUUAGGAGUCCUGGAGUUUGCAUUGUAACUUUUUUGCUGGAUCAAGAUCAUAGUUCCAUCACAAAACACUGAAUCUUUAUCUGAUCACCAGUUUUCUUAACCUUACCGCGUAACUAAAAAGGAGUUGAUGCCUGCCUCUCUUACUGUGUCAGGAAACCAAGCUUCCGAGAGUGCCACUAGAUUUAUGGUUUUGAAGCAUCACUCACGAUUGACGAAAACCAAAACAUAGGAGACCGGAUUCUCUUCUCUCUCUUCCAUAGCUCGAUUUGUCGGACUCGUACGAAGACUGUUUGGUUUGGAGAUCUCUCGAGCCUCGGACUUCAUUUAAGAAGCUGGUUUUCAAUACGAAGGGGAAGAGUAGCACAUCGAUCUCGAAACCAUUAUUGAAGAAAAAUCUGCUCGUGG